rnacentral:lncRNA from 1 species
AACUUACAUAUAAAGUCGGUAUAAAUUUUGGACACAGCAAUGGUAGGGCGCUCCUCCUCAAUAGAAACAGUUUAUCCGGGCCACUUCCGGCCAACCUCGGCAUCUCCAAGUUGAGCUACCUCGCCCUCGCCAACAACAAGCUCACCGGCCCAAUCCCGUCAUCAAUCGGGCAAGCAAAAGACUCCCUCCUCGAGCUCCUCCUCCUCAACAACCAGCUCUCCGGCUGCCUCCCACACGAGCUGGGCAUGCUCACCAAAACCACGGUCAUCGACGCCGGGAAGAACCAGCUCACGGGCCCGAUCCCGCAAUCCUUCUCCUGCCUCAGCAGCGUCGAGCAGCUCAACCUGGGCGAGAACCGCCUCUACGGCCAGGUCCCCGACGCGCUCUGCAAGCUCGGCCGCCUCGCCAACCUCACGCUGGCGGGCAACUACUUCUCCUCGGUCGGGCCGGCGUGCUCGGCGCUGGUCAAGGACGGCGUUCUGGACGUAAAGAGGAACUGCAUCCCCGGCCUCGCCAACCAGAGGGCGCCCGCGGAGUGCGCCUCGUUCAUGAGCCAGCCCAAGGCGUCCUGCCCUGCCGCGAGCGCUCCCGUGUCCUGCCCUGCCGAAGCUGCCGCGGACGCCAAGAAGAUGGCGCCGGAGGGGAGGGCGGCCGCCAAGGACUACGCAAGCUACGUGACGUACGCCACUCUCCAUGAGUGAGCUAGGCGCCACGUAGUGCGUACGGCUUGUCGGCGUGGCGCAUGCAUGCGCUAGGGGACGCCGUGCCUCGUCGCUGGAGUAAUUUGUUUGCUAUUGUAUUCAUUUUUCUUGUAUUUGUUCGGUUGGUGUGUGUGCGCGCGCGCGCACGUGAUCGUUAUUUGUUUUUCUCUUCACGUGUGGAUGUCACGUCUAGAUCUUGCCCUCUUGUACGUACUGUACUGCCAUGCACGUCUGUUGUGUGGUGGCAAUUAAUUUGGAUCGUAUCUUGCUUUGUUCUUUCAUGAUGUCUUGAAAUUAUGUGAAGUUUUCUUACAUUGUGCAUUGCUAGUUACCAUUGCUCGGUGUAAAUGUAUAAUACGGUCAAUAAACCAUGCAUGCCUCUCUGUCGUACAAACUUAACGACCAAACUCCCCAGCAGCACCUGCUUAAUUACGUGUGCAUUUCCGAAUGUAUAUCACAAAGGUUUAUGGUCAUCGCCAAAUCUCUUUUGUGACCGCGCACCUUCUCGUCGCUCGCAGUGCGCACGCACGUGAAUCGUCCGAUCUGAUCGAGCGUUCUCUGUUCUCCCCCUCCACCUCCUCCUCCCGACCAGGCGCCACUCCUCCCCCCUCCUCUCUCUCCCUCUUCUCCCACGAGUUCUCCAGCGCAGGACGUCGUUGCCGUGGGCCAGCCCGCCAUGGAAUCCGCCGGAUCAGGACACCCUUCUCCCUCCCUCCUCCCGCCCGAGGUGCGUCUCGAGCACAUGAAGACGCCUCGUGGGCCGCCCCGCCGAGAAAUCGGCCGGAUCUGGACCUGCUCUCUCCCUCCCCACCUCCCUCCUCCCCCCGAGGUCCGUCCCGGGUGCAGGAUGACGCCUUCUGGGCUGGCCUGCCGUGGAAUCCGCCGGAUCAGGACCCGCGGUUCCUCUUGCCCGCGGCGUUGGGGAGCUCUCGAAGGGGCCAGCCAUGUAGACCGCAGACUCGUCGUCGUUGGCCACGCCGAAUAAAGGGACGACGACCCCGUCGUCCUUGGCCCGAUAUGGAGGCACGUCCCGGCAACAACGAUCCCGUGAUCGUAACGGUUCGUGGUCUAUGAGGGUAUGGUGCUCAUAAUUUCUCUCGUUACUUACAUCCAGUAGAUAUGAUCUUGGAUUUCUUUCGUACUUCUCGUAGAAUUUUUUUAUUUUUCAUGCAACGAACCCAUCAGUAAAAAUUCCUGGUGCAACAAAUUCUAGGGCGCUCCUCCUAAACGGCGAUAAACUGUCCGGGUCACUUCCGGCGGACAUUGGCUUCUCCAAGUUGAGCUACCUCGCCCUCGCGGGAAAUUUCUAGCUGACGCCGUGGAUGCCUACCUCGAUUAUCCACACCGUUCGCCCGUAUAGGGAUCUGAGCCAUCUUAGGUGGCCGAUCAGGAUUUACAGUCACAUUAACUGAACACGGUCCAUAGGGGUGGUAGGACGCAGCACGUAGGUCUGCUUUUAGCAGAGACUGACAGACCCUUGCUGCCUUGCAGCAAGUUUUCCACUGUAGCGCUCGCUCCAUGUAGCGCUCGCUCCAUGUCUCACUCGGAGUACUAGUAGUCUGAAUAGUACUAGUUUUGAUAGCAGUAAUAAUGGGGGCAUAGGAGUAUUGAGGAGCUUUGCUUAAAGAUGUGAGCAAUAUCGAGAAGCUUUGCUUAAAGAUGUUUUACUGUGCAUGGCAAACAUUGUUUUUUCAAUGUUUUUCUAGUUUGGACGUCAGAACAUUGUUUUUCCCAAUGUUUUGUAGUGUCCUCGGCCAAACAAUGUUUUUUCCAGUGUUUCGUUGAUGUCAAAAGCAUCUCUGAAACUCUGAAUAACACAUGCAUUUGUUCAUAGAUAUUUUUUUCGUGUGUUUCAAUGCUUGAAGCACCAUGAGUACGCAUGUGAAUCGCAUGAAGAAAACUCGGUCGUUCCUGUGAAAAUACAAACCGAGUAGCAGUCCUUACGGUCAGUUUGACCACUGCACAAUCCUAAAGUUAUUUUGUCCAACUUCACGUGAGCUAGCGGAGUAAUUUAGAAGUCGAGAGUCGAGACCCUCCGGCUCCAAGUGGGUCCCUAGUGAACAGAAGCCUGCUAUCCCUUGUGCCUUUUGUGGGAUGGGACAAAAAAGAAGAAAUGACGACCAGCACUGGGAGAGAAUGAUGGAAGAUAUAAAAUACUCCUACAAGAAAAUCAGUAGAGAGAGCGCAAUACUCGAAGAGAUAGAAGAAACAGUAGUCAUGGGAACUACAGUGACUUUGGCAAUAUCACCUACAGUAUCCUACGAUAGGAACAAGAGGCUGCAUCCACUGUCAGAUAUUUAGUUCUCGAUGGCCAUAAUGACUUUCCUUAAACCUGAUUCUGGCGCAAAUCCCGAGGAAUGAAACACUGCUCCGAUGGACAGGAUAGGCGGGGCACUCACCUACGUGGUCAGAAAAAUCACCCUCCCUGGCCUCGCCCUCGCAAACAACAAGCUCACCGGCCCAAUCCCGCAGUCAAUCGGGCAAGCAAAAGACUCCCUCCUCGAGCUCCUCCUCCUCAACAACCAGCUCUCCGGCUGCCUUCCUCAUGAGCUCGGCAUGCUCACCAAGACAGCCGUCAUCGACGCCGGGAUGAACCAGCUCACGGGCCCGAUCCCGUAAUCCUUCUCCUGCCUCACCGGCGUCGAGCAGCUCAACCUGGGCGGGAACCACCUCUAUGGCCAGGUCCCCGACGCGCUUUGCAAGCUCGCCGGCCCCUCAGGCCGCCUCGCCAACCUCACGCUGUCAAGCAACUACUUCACGUCGGUCGGGCCGGCGUGCUCGGCCCUGAUCAAGGACGGCGUGCUGGACGUGAAGAAGAACUGCAUCCCAGGCCUCGCCAACCAGAGGGCACCCGCGGAGUGCGCCUCGUUCAUGAGCCAGCCGAAGACGUCCUGCCCGGCCGCGAGCGCUCCCGUGUCCUGCCCUGCUGCCCCCGCGGACGCCAAGACGAAGAUGGCGCCGGAAGGGAGGGCGGCCGCCAAGGGCUACUCCAGCUACGUGACGUACGCCACUCUGCAUGAGUGAGCUAGGCGACACGUACGGCGCGAGGCGCACGCAUGCACUAGGGGACACUGCGGGCCUCGUCGCUAUUUAUUUGUUUGCUCUUGUAUUCGUUUUUGGAUGCGUUGGGGUGCACAUGUGGUCUUGUUUUUUCCCUUUUUAUUUGUUUUCCAAUGCACGUACGUGUGGAUGUCGCAUCUCUCGCUUGUACUGUACGGCCACGUCCGUUGUGGGGAGGUAAUUAACUUGGAUUUAAAUCUUGCUUAUCUAUUAGUAUCUAUUAAAUUAGAGGAGUUGGUGGUGAUGGGUCGGCGCCGUUAGUCCUCUUUCCCACCUGCCGAUCCGAUCUGGACCAAGCGAGCCGCACCCGGACGCACCUAAAAACGAAACGGUUUUUUCUUUUUUCCCGUCGCCUGCGCCUGUGCGAGCCGCCACGCCGCCUUCCUCCUCCGCGCCGCACAGCGCCGACUCCUAUCCGUCGGCAGGUGGGCGUCCGUCCCGUCUGUCCGUAAUUUCGCUAGAAUUACGGAUAUGCCAUCGCACGCCAGCUACCCAACCUCUCGGCUUCUCACUUCACAGUACCGCGUACCCACGAGAGAAAUCGCCCGCACCUGCGGGUUCCGUGGUGGUGGCGUUGGCGUUGGCGGCCUUCGCGGCCCCGGCGGCUGAGAUCUCGCUGGAGCUCGCCUCGUCCUCACGACUCGUCGUCCGACCCGCUUCUCUCUUGUCUUCCCUGCCCCACCAGCGCAUCGGGAUCUCACGCCUCCAGUUCUUCUCCGCCGCCGACUCCAGUCCCCUCCCACUCAAUCAGGGUCCGCCGCCGCCACCAGGAAGAACCGGUUCUUCUCCUCUCCCGCCUGCGCAGCUGCCGGUUCUUCUCAUCUUCCAAUGCCACGGUGGGCGUGAGGGGCGGGCCGGAUUUGGCGUCGUCACCUACCCAAAGGGGUCCGCGGUGGAUUCCACACCGCGGUCGCCGUUUUAGGUUGUGUUCCAGCCUGCCCCGGCCUCCCCACCCGGCGAGCCUGUGGCCGUGCAUUUCUCUGGCAAGCUGCUGGCCGCGUAUAUCUACACCAACUCAUGAGCUCGUGGCUUCGUGCCCAUCCUUUGUCUUGAUUCGGUACAUCAUCAAGGGAUUUUUUUUUUUCCUCACUAACACAAUUUAACACUGUUAAUGCAUGAUCCCAUGUUAUAUCAAUUGAUGAUUGAGAUGUAGUGAUUGAUAUUUGUAUUUUGCAAGAUUAAUGCAGGAUUGAGAUUGUGGUAUUAUGCCGCCAAGUGUUUGCUGAAAUGUCUUAAGGGAAAUUUACUCGUAAGUUUCUCUUGAAUUGUCAUCUUGCUGUUUGUGGGCUUCCUUUAUUUUGCAUGGGAGCCAAGACCUAAACAGAUGCAAUGAAACUGCCAUUACAUAUAUCAUUGUGAUAUUCUGAAACUUCUGAAUCCUUCAUGCAGUGCAUUUGUUAUGGCCUAAAGCCUGAUGAUGUUGGUCAGUUCGCUAGAUGCAAUCUUUUCCUCCUCCUUAUAUAAGUUACUAUAUUAACAUAUAAGUUUUCUUGGAUAAGGAAGCUAGCAAGAUUGUUGGAGUGCCAUUUUACUGAUAAAAUAAUCCAUCGAUUUAGCUCCAGUGAGUUAGUAAUUGCUGCUGUUGUGCUUCAUUUUUCUUGAUUGGAAUCAAUAAAUAAUGGUGUUUGCAUGAAUCGAAAAUGAUUCAUUUCUCGGCAAGUUACUAAGUACUCCCUCCGUUCCUAAAUUCUUGUCUCAAAUUUGCCCAAAAAUGGAUGUAUAGAUUCCUAAAAAGCGUCUAGAUACAUGUAAUAUUUCGACAAGAAUUUAGGAAGGGAGGGAGUAUCUUAGCGCCGGUGGAUUUCCCGGUGACGCCGCGGGCCACGCACUACAUGGAAGUGGCGGGGGACAUUGGAUAAUUUCCGUAUCUGUUCAUAUAUUUGUGUUGAUUUUAUUUUCGAGAUUCUCACAUGAAUCUACAAGAAAAGACACAUUUAUUUUUUCGCUUGGGAAUCACUUGAUGCUAAUUAUUUGGGAAGAUUUUUUAUUAGCAAUUCGUCCAUGUCAAAAGAUUAACAGAGAUUUUUGUUAUAAGAGGCGAACAUAUAUUUUUAUCAAAUUUUCAACGGCGAAUGGUAGUUUGGUCCAUGUUACCCCUACCCGAUGUCACUCCUCCUCUGCUGCUGUCAAGAUCCAGCCAUGGUGUUCUUCGUGUUCUUGUAAAAUAAUCUUUCAUUUUAUCCGAUGCGACAUUUGAAGCACAUAAAUUGGGUUUUUUUACAACUGCACAUGAUUUGUUUGGUUACGCAAUUUCUGUACAAAGGUGAUGCUUCUGCUCAAGUAGAAUCUGGGACAGAUUUUGUGUUUGUACUACACACAUGUUGGAGGUUUUUUUUUUCAAGAUUUAGCAGAACCGAGUAUGCUGGUGAUGAACUUUGUGGGCUAAACAUUCUGUAAUUUAAAUAUUUGUACCAACAGAUUGUUAACUGUUUACUUGAUGUCCAAAUCUUCUGCCUUGAUGCGAAGUUAUUACAUUGUGGCAUUGCUGUGGUGACUGGUCAAUAUUUCCCAGCAUAGUGUGGCGUCACGGGAUUAUCCGGACCAUUGAUUGCCGCCGCCACAUUAUCUCGGCGAGGCGAGCCUGAGAGGUCACCGGCAAGGGCGACACCGGAACCCUUUCCGGGCUAAGGUGCCACCCGUGCGGCAGGUGGACGUCCGGCCACGGCACCGGAAUGCUCUGUUCCCAAAACUCUCGGGCCAGGUCGACGCUGACAUUGCAUCGACCCAACCGGACGGAUCGCGCGGGCGGCGCGAUUGUGAAUCCCCGUGACACCGGCGGGACGGAGCGCGACGGGGAGGAACGGUGGAGCUCCGACGCGACGCCGACGGUGCGCUCUGGCGCGGAUCAGAGGAGAACGAUGCCUCGCGGUCGUUGGCGGUCUUCCUCCACCACGGCUUGGGCGCCAUUGCCGUGGUCGGUCGCACUACGUAGGGUUUUCCGUCGAAGUGGGUGGGGGAGAAAUGGGGACGGGGGCUAGUCCCAUUUAUAUGUCCGCGACAGGUAGUCGCUGGGCCGCUGGCAGGUGGGGACAGGGAAGGCGAGGGGGUUUGACCGCGUGGACCAGCCGGACCGCGUGCGUGGAGACACAAACCCUCCUCAGAUUUGGGGCAGGAAUGGGUCAACGCGGACCCGAAUCCGGACCGCCGCGCAAAUGGGUCGCCCCGGGCGACGCGUUUUGUCCAUUUUGGACCAACCGGACCGCGUAGGCCCAUUUGCGUCGCCCCGCUGGAGUUGCCCGUAGGAACAAAAUUUGAGGAUGUGGUUGGAAAUGCUUUUGGGCAACAGCCUGGACGCCCUCGGGCUCGGCCCGCUCAGGCUCGGACGGGCUCGGGCUCGGCCCGGCAAAUGCAAAGCCUGGGCCGAGCAGCUGAACUGCGCUCGUUUUUAUGGGCCGAGCCCAGCUCUGCUCUGGCUGCUCGAAAAAGCCCGAAAAUAUAUCCGGCCCAGUCCACCUCAUGAAUUUUCCCCAGCCCACUCAUCAUCUACUCCUGUCCGAAAGCUCCCCAGCCCACUAAAGCAGUACGGCUCAUACCACAGCCACUCCUGCAGUCCUGCCUGACAACUCCACGAUCGAACUCCAGCCCGAGCUAGCGUUCGUUAGGUUUCCUCUUCUCUGGCAGAUGCUGCGCCGCUGCACAACCUGCACAGCUUGCACCGUCGGGCGCUAUGUCCCGCCGUCUAGAUCCGCCGGCCGGCCGCCACGUCCCACCGCGCACGCCGUCUAGAUCCGUCGGCCGCCGCUGAAGACAAUGACGGGGAAGUCGAUGCCAUGGCGAGCGGUGUCGGGCAGCGCGGCGGCGAUGUCGACGUCAACAACCCGACGCCUCUUCCUCUCUUCGAGCGCAUUGGUCCCGCGCUGGACAUGGCCAUGGCGAAGAACCCCAUCCGCUUGGAUGUGUGGUGUGUCGUCGAGCCGGAAGAAGAUGGUGGCCAAGAAGACUUCGAGCGCAAGCGGGUUCGCGUACGUCGGCACCGAUGUGGACGAUGAGGAGGAAGACGACUUACUGUUGGGGUUGUCAAGCUCGGCCCGAGCUUCAGCCAGGCCCGAGCCGAACCUCGGAUAUAGGCCUGAAAAUGGUUUCGGGCCGAGCCGGGCUCGGCGGGGCUCGCAUCCAGGCCAAGCCAAUGCCCUGCUCGGUUGCCUCCUGCGUUUUGCCUAACCGCGAUCAGGCCGCCUGCUCGGCCCGUCUCGUGUGACUCCCGCCGAUUGAUCGAUCAAGCGAUCAGCCGCGAAUGGAGAGUACGUGCUCUGCUGCUUCUCUCGAAUCACGAUCGCUCUAAAGGAGGGCGGAGGGGCAACACGCGCGGCCUGGGCUCCGCGCUGCCUCCUGCUAGAGCUCCGGCGAGCUAUGGCAAAGGAUGGAGUGCUCUGGAACCUGCAAUGUCUACUUGUCAGAUUACCUGUGCCUAAUUGCCAGGUUAGCUAUAUCUAGUUGCGAGAUUACCUAUGCCUACUUACAAGGUUAGCUAUAUCUAGUUGCCAGGUUAAAUAUACCUAGUUGCCAGGUUAGUAAUCUCUGAUUGCCAGAUUACCUAUGUCUCAUUGCCAGCUUAGCAAUGUCUCCUUGCUAGAUUAUCUAUGUCUACUUGCCAGGUUAACUGUACAUAGUUGUCAGGUUAGCAAUGUCUACUUACCAGAUUACCUAUGCCUAAUUGUCAGGUUACCUAUGCUGCCAGAUUACUUGUGCCUACUUGCCAGGUUAAGUAUGCAUAACUGACGUGUUAGCAAUACAUACUUGCCAGAUUACGUAUGCCUAUUUGUCAGAUUAGCGAUGUCUAGAUGGGGCCGUAUGCCACUGGAUGCAGAGCAGAGCCCAUCACCGUUGCUGCUCCUGGUGGCCGCUGAAGCCCGCGCCCUCCCCUGCUCCGUCGACACCCUGGCUCCGACUAGGCCCUGUCGCCGGGGCCGUGUCCCUGCUCCCUCGGCGCCCCGUAGCAGCGACCGUGCCCUGGCUCCGAUGACGCACCGCCGCCGGGGCCGCGGCCUUGCUCGGUCGGCGCCCUGGCUCCGACGACGCCCCGUCGCCUAGGUCGCGCCCCUGCUCCGUCGGCGCCCCCCCCCCCCCCCCCCACACACACACAGCAACCGCGCCUAGCCGCCGCGACCCUGCUUUGCCGCUGAUCCACCGCCGAUGCGGGCGGGCGCUGCUCCGCCGCCGUUUCCGUCCGCUACGGCCGCGCCCCUGCUUCAAUCGGGAUUCGGUACGAGAAGAGAGAGCUAUCGGGAAUGAGAGAGGCUAGCGAAGAAAGAUGGGAUCAGGAGAAGAGAAGGGGAUGGAGGGGAGUUGGAUUGGACGGACCACCGACCGCCGCACGGUAAGACCAAGUGGGGCACGUGCCUCACUUAGAUUAACCGUUCUUUUUUUCGGGAGAAGACGACGAACAGUCGAGCAGAUCCACCUCUUUUGUCCAGGCUGGGCCACAGCAAGUCCGUUUUCCCUUUUUUUUUUCUGAGCCUCUAACCGUUAUGUCGGCUCUUCUUCUCCUUUGGGCUAGUACGGUUGGGCCCGGUCCUCUCGAUUGAAGCGUGAAACCGAUCGACGCCUCCUCAUUUCGAUUCAGGCCUCCCCUGCCUCGACCCUAGUUUUGAAAACCGGACCGGUAAUCGAACCGGCGAGGUCUCGGUUCGGUUUUUCCGGUCGAACCGCUAGUUCACCUGUUGAACCGGUUUGGUUUUUUAACAUAUAAAAUAAUCUAUUUUAAAUAAAUACUAAAAAAAUCCCGCGAGGCGGCGCAGCGAGCUGCCGAAGCUGGUGCGGGGCGCGCAGCGGCCGGCGCCGGGGGCGGCGAUGCGCGGCGGCGGGCGGGUGCGGGAUCCGGCGAGAUGGGGAACGGCAAGUGAACCGGGCGGUUCGAGUCAAACCGCCCGGUUCACCGGUUUUCACCAAAACCAGCCGAUUCACCCGGUUUUUCCCGGUCCACUUGGCCGUCCGGUCCAGUGCGCUAAACAGACCGCUGGGAGCUGCGGUUCCGGUUUUUUCCGGUCGGACCGCCGAUCCGGUCCGGUUUUCAAAACUAGGCCCUCGACCCCGCCCAUUUAUUUCCCACGCGAGAGAAAACCGUAUUCCGGCGAUCCCUAAUCGAAAUCAAAGCCCCGAAUCCCAAUUAAAUCCAAGGCUUCUGGGCUCCGGCGAAGGAACCGCCUAGAUGGCGGACAGCUCAGGCCGGGCUGCAGCUCAAGACUUUUGUUGUCGACUUGUUGCAAUUUGAUGGUGGCUUAGGGCACGCAAAAUGGUUGAUAAAGACGCCUCCUUUUAUGUGCUUCACGUCAUUUAGAUACGACAACAAGACAUGUUGUACAAUAUGUUAUAUCUUAUUGUCAUAUCUCAAAAUUAAUGCUAGAUGAACAAAAUUAUCAAACAAAUGUUAAAAAGGGUAAAAUUCAGUACAAUGAAAAAUUUGCCUUUUCUUUGCCUUAUACUUCUUCUGAAGAGAUCAUAUGUUAGCUUAGAUAAGGUUCAUGCAUUUUCUUCACUCUCUUCCACAUCAUCAUUUAUCCUACAUGGCACCCUUAAAAAAAGGCCGGUGUCAAUCCCAUUGUACAUGCCUUUAUUGGCUAGUGGUGUUUUGUUAUCACAUUUUGCAUUUAUUUAUGUACAAUUAUUAUUGUGAUCUAAUUGAGAUUGUCAUGUUUUUUUUGUCAAUUAUCAAAAUUAGCACUUAUAUGUAUGCAACAUGUAUCUAAUCGGGAAUCGUUUGAAACAAAUCUCCUCCAAUCGAAAAUUCGUAAUAAACUGAUCAUGGGCAUGAAACCAUGAACCCAGCUCUAAUACCACUCGUUAGAAAAUACAAUGUGCAAUGAUUGAUUAAUUGAGAAAAGACUAAUCAGAACAACACGGCACCGAUAUUUGUUUACGACGUCUAUCGUUGCCAACUAUAUCCUAGGUGUGUGUUAUUGUGUUGGCAUAGUCUACUGAAUUAUCCCGCAAUACCUUAGAUAUGUGUUACAAUUAUUCUAAGUCACACAUAAAACCCUCCUCCAAUUGCAGUAUUCGACAUAGUUCCAUGAAUCUCAGUCACUGUCCUAGACCUUUGGACCAACAUCCAAUAAUAUAACCUGCAAAUUUUCAAAUGGGUCAAAAUUUCAUUAAAAUAGCACUUCCAUAAACAGGUGAAAUUUCAGGCUUAUUAGUGUGCAGAUUUAAGCGUGGGUUUUCAACAAACCUGUCCAAGAACCUUAUGUAAUUAUUUUUAUUAUGUUUGAGAUCCUUUGUAUUUGUUGAACCCUUAUAACAGAUAUAUAAUAGAUAUGCAAAAAGAAGAAGAAAAGACCAAUAGUAGAAGAGCUUUAGUUUAACUAGGAAUGCAACAUUUUAGUUACGUCCACUACUGCGAGGCCACCUUGCUAGCUAUUUAAGGCAUAGGAAGACAAGGGCAUGUGUAGUGAUUGAAAAGUCUCAAUAUUUUCUUAGUCUCUUAGAUCACUUAGAGCGACACUACAAAAAUGAUGUACAAUACAUUUUUUAUCUGAAUAUUGUAUCUAGGAAUUAACGUUUGCAUGCCUCCAAAAUGAUAGAGUGGUUAAAAUUGAACUAAAAAUGUUAUCUGGUACAAUAGAGAAAAACAUCUUAUUAUAGGUGCUAGAGACCAUCUUUUAGUUGAGAAUACAUACAUCCUUUUUUAUUUAUUUCCUUUUCAAGGCAAGAACUAUCUUCGUAGUUUUAUUAAAAGAAUCACAUGUACCCUCGUACAUUGCCUAAUUUAUACAUCAACACAACCGUUUGGUAACUCCAACUAUUUAAACCACACGCAAGAGCCGGGUCUUCAGUCCUUGAAUUUUUGCUUUACUCAGCUAUGCGAUCUCCUAUUCGAUCGUGUCAGUCUGUUUCCAGAGCUGGUGGCCACAGCUGCUUGGUAUCUCUGGUGGCAGAGAAGACGUGAAGUUCAUCACGAGAGACCCAGGCGUGUGACCGAGCUGCUUUCUCCAUUGCUGCACUGGCUCAGAACUUUACGAGAGCGGCAUCUCAUGAUAAGGCAGUACUCGUUCCGUUUCAUGAAACAAUACAUACUAGAUUUUUUUGAUUUGUUACACAAAUCAACACGUUUUUUUUCUUGGUUCCCGCAUCCGGCUAUAAUAACGGUUCACAUCCAUUUAGUACUAAUGUAGUAUAAGUGUUCGGACACUAAGAACGAGAGUUGUCUUAAUCUAAGUGCACAAAACUAUAUGAUGUGUUUUUUGUAAUGGAGGAAGUAGUAAAGAAGGCCGGCUGGUUGAGGCUGCCUGUUGAUUGUGUUAAAGUGAAUGUCGAUGCUGGUAUUGAUCCUGAUGAAUUGUGUGGAACUGUUGCUGCCGUGAUAAGAAAUAAUCAGGCUGUUUUUGUGACUCCUAUUAAAUGCAAGCUGGAGUGUGUGCCGGACGUUAUGACGGCUGAACCUUUUGCUCUCAGUCUCGGCCUGGAGCUUGCUCUUCUUAAUGGCUGCACAAAGGCCGUUUUUAGCUCGGAUAAUCUUCAGCUUAUCCAGAUUCUUAAGGGGGAGGUUCAGAAUUAUUGUCCGGCUGCUGCUGUAAUUGAUGAUUGCUUUCAGCUGAUUUCUGAAUUCUCCAAGAUUUCUUUUGAGUAUAUUGCCCUAGAGAAGCUAACGGUGUUGCGCAUGAACUCGCGCAGCUUGUGAAGAGGCCCCUGCUUCCUCUCGGUUUGAUAUUCCACCCCGGUGCAUUGGGACUCGGCUGCGGUGACGUACUGCCCGUAGGUGGGGCCGGUCCCACGUGUCAGUGACUGUAAAGUCAGGGGCAUACUUCACUAAAUCCUCGUCGCGUGCAUUAUACCUCAUUUGGUUGAUGGUGUAACACCUAUUGUGAUAAGAAAUAAUCAGGAUGUUUUUUUUUUGUUGAGGGUUUGAGAGCUGUAUGUUGGGCAAUUUGGAAGACCUAGAAUGGGGGUUGUUUUGAAAAGAAAGUCUUACAUCAUCCUGAAUCUAUCGUUUUCUCCUUGUGCUCCUUUCUUCAGUUCUGGGCAAGUCUACAGAAGGGGCCUCGCCAACUACCGAUGAACGAUGGAGCUUGGCCUGUUGUGGCAGAUGGUGGUGCUACUGAGACGAUCUCGAGGAAGACUGUCGGCUCUUGGGAAGCUCCAGAUGACUGUUGAAGCUCGGUUGUCGGUGUUUUGCACGAAACUCUACCGUUGCAUUGGCAUUUGAUCCUUUUUUUGGAUCUGUAAUAUGUUAUCGCUCUAUCAUGUAUCAGGAUUUUGUUCCUGUAGUCUGUCUGAAACCCCUCUUUUCGACUUGUAGCGUGGCAAAGGGGGUCGAGUCGGCCCUAUUCGCAAUGAGUUUCCUGCUGGUUUUAUGUUUGGCUUUCCCCGCUCGUAUUUCCCUCUGCUGUUGGGUAGUUCUUAUGUGCCAGAUAUAAUGUUGUUUCCGAAAUUGCAAUGGAAAAUGGGGGCAGUCCAAGUCGAAAAAGGGAAAGGUAUUUUGCUAUCAAAAGAAAAGAAAAGAAAAACACCGCAAGAUGAUCAAUUCGAUUACGGCAGUUGCGAUGCCCCUUUCGUGCCCGGCCAAGCCGAGCUGUUUCUCCGCAUGUUCUCCGGCAGGCCACCACCAUUAUUGGUUAAAUCUUUUGGUCCUUCGUUCGAGCUUUCUGAGACCAUCCAAACAGUUAGGUCAGCCAUGCAACAAAAGGACUCCCGUGCUGAGGCUGGCCAAAUGCAUAAUGCGUAUGACUUGUACUGCUAUAGGGUACAAGUAGACAACCGCGAUCUGUGUCGUACUAUGUCGUUCUCUUGCCGGCUUUGCCGCCCGUAGGGCCGUGUCCGCGAGGCUUGUCGAGUUUGGAGGACGAGUUGUGCUUUCACGUGCACGUAUAUGUCGUCUGAGUGGUGUAGGCGUGCGGAACCAGUUUCUUCGUCAGUUUCUGCGUAAUGAUCUCCUUCCAGGUUGGAGACUGAUGCCGGAUCCAGCCACGGGGGAGAAACCCUUGUCCUCUGCAUAUGUUCUUCAGGAAGGUAGGUCUUUAAUUUGCUCAGCUCACUGGCAGGCAGGAGUAUUACUGGUGGGCCAACUGGAGCGUAGUGCAAAUAAUACACUCGGAACCGCAUGGGCAGAUGCAGAAUGCAUGCCAUGGCCGGGCCCCGGAGCGUGGUAAUCUUGGCUUCUCUCUCACCCAUGAUUAGCAUAGGUACAAGGUACCACUCAAAAUAAUCUUACAAAACUCUGAAAAAUAUACCCUCCGUUCGGAAAUAAGUGACGUAGAUUUGUAUAGAUUUUUAUACAAAUUCACGUCACUUAUUUUGGGAUAUUUUGGGACGAAGGGAGCAGCAAAUAGUUGUAUUAUGGUAUUACAAUUCAUCGACAAGCAGUGAUAUCAUAACCGAAGCCAACAACAGACACUUGUUUAUUGUAUUAUCAUGAUGACAGAAACCACCAUGGGAAUCACCCUGCCAGUUCUUUCUUUCUUUUUUUUGAUCUUUUCUUUUUUAGAUUAUAUUUGGUUAAUAUAGCUCUCAUUUCAACACCGAAGACGCGUAAUUUCUUAGGACACGUGCUAGUUGGUAACUCUAGGUAGUGUUUGGUUGAUAUCAUGAAGUGGAAUGUAAUGGAAUGGUUUCAAAACCUGAAAUGAUUCUUGUGUUUGGUUCUUAGAAUAUGAAGAAAUGGAAUGGAACCAUAUGGUUCCUCAAAAAGAAAUAUUCCCUCAAUAUGCCUAACCAUCUCAUUCUAAAAAAUGCAGGAAUGAGUUGGUUCCAAGUGGAACCGGUGAUUUAAGUAUUUGGUUUUUAGGAUAUAGAAAAGUAGAACCGUUUCAUUACAUUCCAUCCCUAUAAAAAUAUAACCGUUCCAUUCCAUUCCACCUCGCUCUAGAACCAAACACUACCUAAGUAACAAGAAAAGUGAUUUCCAUUUUGUCCAAAGUAAUUGGCCUCCGAACUGAACCUGUCACGUCAGCCUGACAGCGGGACAAUCACUAAAUGGGUAAGUAUCACAAAAUGCAACUUAGAAGCUUAAAAAAAUGUUGGUAUUCAGUUAUUCACUCUAGUAAGAAAGAUACAAAACUAAAAACACUGUGCUUAUGAUCGAAUGCUCGAUACAUAUACGUCCUCACGCAUUGGCACACUAUUAUCUGAUGUACUACACUUGUCGUAUAAUAACAAAAUUUAAAAAAGCUUACGUGUUUCGCGCGAAAGUUCAUGGAAGCAGUCACGGCAUUUUGUUCAUUUCUUCCAGGGAGACGACAAUUCUCCAUCAGGUAACCUUCGUGGAGUUCACGGCAUUUGUACAUGGCAGACGGUCAUCCAUCUCGAAUACAUACACGUUUACUUUACCCGCUGGUCCAUCCAAGAAAUCCAACGAACGAACCAUAUCCACGCAAUACAUUCUGAAAGCACGGCCAUCGCAAAGGACCAAAAUCACUUGUGGAACGAGAAUCUUACACCAGUAGCCUGCUCCACAUGCUGUGUUUGUCAGCAUCGAAACCUCUCGAGACAGGUCGCACAUCAACGCAACGCAAAAGAUCUCUGUCUGGCUCAGCGGCUCCGGUUGAAAAGUAUAUAGCCAGACCUGCAGUAGACCUGUGGGAUUCGAGGUUAGAGACAGAGCAUGGACACGCCGCAACAACCUUGUCCAGCUCAAACAGCGACAACAACGGUUGGUGACGAAAGGUGAAAAGUACCAGUCACUGGAAUGUUUGACUGACUCAAGGUCUUCGCUGCAGCCGCGGUCAAGCUAAGAUAAGGCGAGAGAAUUGCAGGUGAGAUGCAUGUGUGUGGAUGUGUGGUGCUGUGAAAGUGUUUUUAAACCCCUGGGCCAUGAGCCAGCUGAGCAUCAACUCAAGCUUCACGGCUCACACCACCACCCAGGAAAACCAAGGAGAAACGGCUGCCGUGUUGUGUGGGUGUACGACCAAGCAGAGGUGAGUUGUUCGCUCUUCUUCUGAUGUAGGAGUACUCCGUAGUAUACUGUACUGCUUCCUGAUUUUACUUGAGUUGUUCACUCUUCUUCUGAUGUAGGAGUACUCCGUAGUAUAUUGUACUGCUUCCUGAUUUUACUUGCUGUUGUUUUUAUAUUAAAAAAUGAGUGUGCCUAUUCUUUAGUGGAUUGAUUUUUAAGAAAUAAGGAUUGAAUCACACUAGAGCCCUUUAUUAAGAUUUGUAUAUCAUCCUCUUUUUCUCACCUCUCAUGCAUUGUCGUUGGAUUAAGAUCUAACGGUCAACACAUCAAUUUAUCUCUAACUAAAAAUCAAUCUACUUCUCUAGAGCAAAACCAUCCAAAAAUUGCUUGCUUGGAGUGAAAUGUGACCGUCUGAUAAAGCUAAACCUUUGUGCUUUUGCUAGCUGUUACGCACUUCUCUUUCCUUUUUUUUUUGAAUGGGCCGGUUACGCACUUUCUUUCACACCGCAGCAAAGUGUGAGGGUAACUCCAGUGGGGUGACCCAAAUCCUUUGGCCAAAAGCAUCCGUUUGGGUGACGACCGGCCUCCGUCCGUUUGGGUCUGCCUUGCCCCCAACUCGGUCACCCAUUUGGUCCGUUUUAUUAAUCAUAAACACGCAGGCUAGAGGAGGACAGGCACGGUGAAAAGAUGUUGUCUGUCCAGACCCAAACCUGCACCAAAUUUGGAUAAAAAAUGGGUCGUGACGGAUAAAAAAACGGAUGGUGGCCGAAAUGGGUCGCUGCAUUCGAACGUGUUUUUAUCCGUUUGGACCCAAACGGACCGAUCCACGCUAAAUGGGUCUACCCGUUGGAAAUGCCCCGACUCCCUGUGGAUGCCGAGGCCAUGAUAGUUUUUUCAUCAUCUUUUUUCUUUAGCAAAGUAGUUUCGCCAGUGAACAUAAUAUGCCAUGAUGUUAUAUUUUGCAGGUCGCCGGCCAAUCCCUCGUGCCUUCCAGUUUUCAACCGGUAAAACUCUACAUGCUUAUCCUAUUAGCAUGGUUUGUCUUCUCUUAUGGAGUUGGCAGCAUUCAUUGCUCCACGGUCCCUGGGAACAGCACGGACGUGGCCGCGUUGCUCGAUUUCAAGAAUGCCAUCACCAUCGAUCCACAGGGAGUACUCUCGACCUAUUGGAAUGCCAGCACCCCAUAUUGCCAGUGGAAGGGCGUCAAAUGCAGCCUGAGGCAUCCUGGGCGAGUUACCGCUCUUGAGCUCUCCGCCCAAGGCUUGUCGGGUCCAAUUGCUGCCUCAGUUGGAAACCUGACUUUCCUUCGUACACUUGACUUGUCGCGGAAUAACUUCUCCGGACAGAUUCCUCAUCUCAACAAUCUCCAAAAGAUUCAAAUCAUCAAUCUGAACUAUAAUCCGUUGGGUGGUAUUAUUCCAGAGACGCUCACAAAUUGUUCCAGCCUGAAGGAACUAAGCCUCUACGGAAACUUGCUGGAGGCUUCAAUCCCUCCGCAAAUCGGUGUCCUUUCAAAUCUAGUUUACUUGGACAUAUCCCAAAACAAUCUCACUGGGAUCAUCCCGUCCACCCUCGGAAAUAUAACCUAUUUACGAGAAAUCUACCUUGGACAAAAUAAACUUGAAGGAAGCAUUCCAGAUGAACUUGGCCAAUUGUCAAACAUUUCGAUUCUGUUCCUUAGGGAGAACAGCCUAUCAGGUAGUAUCCCAGUAAGCCUUUUUAAUUCAUCUUCUCUUCAACAACUAGAAUUAAGUGUAAAUCCUCUAGAUGAUACUCUACCAACUAACAUAGGUGAUCACCUCCCUAAUCUCCAGAAGCUCUACCUAAGCAAUAACAUGCUCGGAGGUCAGAUCCCAGCUUCCUUAGGCAACAUUACAAACCUAGAUACAAUAAAUUUUCAGAAAAACAGUUUCACCGGGGAAAUUCCUAGCUCUUUUGGAAAGCUUUCAAGUUUGGUUAGAUUAGAUCUUCAAGGAAACAUGCUCGAAGCAAAGGAUAGUGAAAGCUGGGCAUUCUUGCAAGCCUUGGGGAACUGUAGUCUUCUAGAACUACUCUUGCUGACUGCAAAUCAGCUACAAGGAGUCAUACCAAAUUCAAUUGGUAACCUACCAACCAGUCUAGAAGCUUUAGCAUUAGGUAGUAACAAACUAUCUGGUAUGGUUCCACCGAGCAUAGGGAACCUUUCCGGGUUAUUUUACAUGACAUUAGAACAAAACAGCCUUACUGGUACCAUUAACGAGUGGAUUGGAAACAUGAAAUCACUGCAAGCUUUACAUUUGACAUACAAUAACUUCACUGGUUCCAUUCCACCUUCUAUUGGCGAUUUGACAAAGUUAACAAAGCUCUAUCUGCAGGAAAAUCGCUUUCAAGGUCCUAUACCACGGAGCUUUGGAAACCUUCAAGCACUAUUAGAGUUAGACCUUAGUGAUAACAAUUUCGAAGGCAAUAUACCUCCAGAGGUUGGCAACCUUAAACAACUCAUCCAACUACAAGUUUCCUCUAACAAGCUUACCGGGGAAAUUCCUAACACGUUGGACCAAUGUCAAGGUCUAAUCAAACUCGAAAUGGACCAAAACUUUCUCACAGGAACCAUUCCAGUAUCCUUUGGAAACCUAAAGGCCUUGAGCGUUCUCAAUCUUUCACACAACAACAUCUCCGGCACCAUCCCAACAGCUUUAGGUGAUCUGCAACUUCUCACCGAGCUGGAUCUUUCAUACAAUCAUCUCCAAGGGAAUGUGCCAACACAUGGAGUUUUCAGUAAUGCUACAGCCGUUUUACUUGAUGGCAAUUGGGGCCUUUGUGGAGCAACGGAUCUUCAUAUGCCCUUGUGCCCAACUGCACCAAAGAAAACCAGAGUAUUAUAUUACUUGGUUAGAGUGCUGAUACCAAUAUUUGGUUUUAUGUCACUCUUCAUGUUGGUGUACUUUUUACUCGUUGAGAAGAGGGCAACUAAAAGAAAAUAUUCAGGAUCGACUUCUUCAGGGGAGGAUUUUCUGAAAGUUUCUUACAAUGAUCUUGCUCAAGCCACAAAGAAUUUCUCGGAAGCUAACCUUGUUGGGAAAGGAAGCUACGGCUCAGUGUACAGAGGAACAUUGAAGGAACAAAAAGUUGAAGUGGCUGUAAAGGUUUUUGACCUUGAGAUGCGAGGUGCUGAGAGAAGCUUCAUUACUGAAUGUGAAGCACUUAGAAGCAUUCAACAUCGAAAUCUUCUUUCCAUCAUAACUGCUUGCUCAACAGUAGAUAAUGACGGCAAUGUUUUCAAAGCUCUGCUUUACGAGUUCAUGCCUAAUGGGAGUUUGGACAGAUGGCUGCAUCACAAAGGGGAUGGAAAAGAUCCCCAACGUCUUGGCCUAACACAAAUAAUAGGCAUAGCUGUUAACAUAGCUGAUGCAUUGGACUAUUUACACCAUGACUGCGGAAGGCCUACUGUUCACUGUGAUCUGAAGCCCUGCAACAUCCUUCUAGAUGAUGACAUGAAUGCUCUCUUGGGGGACUUUGGCAUUGCAAGGUUAUAUGUUCAAUCUCGUUUGUCUUCCACUGGUUCAACUAGUUCAAUUGGCGUGAAGGGGACAAUAGGAUAUAUCGCUCCAGGUAUUUUUCUUAUGUAGUUCUCAUUUGUAUCUAUAAGUAUUUAGCACAGCUAAAUCGUUAUUACAUGACUAUUCUCUGACUAUACAUAUCUUGUCUUCAGAGUAUGCUCAAGGCGGUCAUGUAUCAACUUCUGGGGAUGUUUAUAGUUUUGGGAUAGUACUACUGGAGAUGACGACCGGUAAAAGACCAACAAACCCUAUGUUCAAGGACGGACUCGACAUCGUCAACUUUGUGGAGGGCAACUUUCCGCAUCAAAUAUACCAUGCAAUCGAUGUUCGUCUCAAAGAUGAUAAGGACUUUGCUCAAGCAAAGAUGGUACCGGAAAAUGUGGUCCACCAAUGCUUGGUGUCUUUGCUACAAAUAGCACUUUCAUGUGCGCAUCGACUACCAAUCGAACGACCAAGUAUGAAAGAAGUGGCCAGCAAAAUGCAUGCAGUCAAUGCGUCAUACCUUGGGGGGAAAUGAAAGACGUGAAGUAUAUUCCAUUAGUGACGUGGAAGCAUACAGUAUGCUCACUAUACAACACAUUAUACAUACUGGUACAUGUCAUGUGCCAUUUAUUAACUAUAUUACUAUACUCCCUUUUGUAAAUCCAAUUAACUAGCCGAACUUCCUGCUGCUGAUUAGUAUGUAUAUUGAGAAAAAUGUUGUAUUUGUUGUAAAACUCUCUCGGCCUAUGUAUAAGACCCGUGCAAAAAAUAUAUGUCCAAAAUUUGGCCAGAAUGAGUUUAUUUUAACACAAAAGGGAUACUCCCUCUGUUUCAUAAAGGUUGGCACGGCUUUGCACGUGGAACGAAGGGAGUACCAUUGAAUUUGUAUUUGUUUCUAAAUAUUUGUAUACAUAGUCAUUUUUAGCUUGAGGUAAGCAUAAUGCGGGACCGCCAUGAAGCGGGCCAACGCAACUCGACUCAGAACCACGUGGUACUGGGAGGGCCAGUCAACCACUUCGAAGUCAAGUUUUUAACGUCGAAAGUUGUCGGGUGAGCCGAACACCACGUUCGAGGCUUACUUUGCCCAGCGGUGUAGCUGCUAAUUUGCCUGGGAUGAUGUCAUGGAAGGCUGUAUCCGUGGCAGAAAGCUUUGUAAUGGAGCGAUUCAUCCCUCGGAAGGUAUCCGUGUAGAUAAGAUUGAGGCCGCUGCCGCCGUCGAUAAACACUUUAUUCAUCAUGUAUCCACCAAUCUGGGCAUCGAGCACCAGAGCUGCAUGUCCAGGUCGCGGGACUUGGGGAGGGUGAUCUUCUCGGGAGAAAGUGAUUUCUGUUUCAGACCAAUCGAGAUACUGUGGUACGGCGGUGGCGUGGCCACGGCCAUAUGCACCUGUCGGGUUAUCAACUUCUGAACUCGAUUUGUUGGUCUGCCCUUCUGGACAUGCAUAUGUGACCCGCUGGAGCUGGAUAAGACUCGAAGACACCGGGUACCGACUCCGGGAGUGGUUGCGUUCGGCUCACGGCUUCAGAGAAGUUAGCUUGAAGUGGAGGAACUGGCGGGGCGCAAAUGGCCUGAGUCGCAGGUAGUUGAGCCGGCGGUGCCAUGAUGACUCUGUUGCUGGUAUAUUGGGAGUAACCCACAUCCGCAGCUGGCUGUUGAGUUCGCGUGAACUCGAGCUGUCACUCCUUGAAGCGCCUACACUCCACCAGAGAGUGGCUAGGCUUAAUGUUGCCUUGUUCGUCCUUGUAGACGUGAAAUGGGCAAGGAGCCGCCAACUGUUGGGAGAGUGUAAGCUGGCCUCCCUUGCGUUGCCACUGUGGUUUUAAUCCGCUAGGCUAGCUGCUGCGGUCUCUCUCCGCCUGAGAGGUGGCCGUGAUGAAGUCGGGUGAAGUUGGUUCCUCGAACGCAUGUCCCUUGCGCUUCCUCCUUCGUUCGAAGACGCGGUCUCCACCAUUGUCCGGGGAUUGACGACGCUCGUUGCGGACCGAGUCCUCGCCAUCAGCCCACCGGUUGGCAAUUUCCAUCAAGUAGUUGAUUGUUGCAGGUCGGACGCGACCCAGUUAUUCCUCGAGUUCGACUAGAUGAAUACCUCGUUUGAAUGCGUCGAUUGGGGCACUGCAUAGCGGUAGUUCGUGUUCCGCCCUGACACGAAUCCCGGUGAGGUAAUCCUCCGGCGAAGUACUGGGCUCCUGAGUGUCGUCAUAUUUGGCCAGGUCAGCUGGUGGCUUGAAGUUCCUCGGCAUCCUAGUUCAAUGAAUUCGACGGCUGAAGCAUGGUGCUCCGCAGUUUUCGUGAUCUGACUCGGGAGAGCCCUCACGGUAGGCUACUUGGCGACCGGGAUCGCGAUCGUCGACUCGAAGACGAGAUCGACUUCUUCUGCGAGGACUGGGCCUCGCGCAUGUUUUGCCCCGAGGUAGGCGGUCGGCGGUCGUACCGAGGCUCGUUGCCCGCACGGGGUGGAGUCCGGUCUUGAGAUGUCGCCUGAUUAGUCAGGCCUCGGUCGACACAUGAGGCUCCUUCUUUGACCAAUCCUUUUAAAAUCUGCUUGUGGAAGCGCCAGCGCGGAUCGUUGUCGGGCAGCUGGAUUGACUGCAGGUAAGUGUUUGCCGCAUAAAGGGCUGCUUCAGUAAUCCCAAGCGUCAUGUCGUUGCGGUCAUCGACCGACAUGAAGCUUGAAGAGAGGUUGCGUGUCGCGUGGGCCCUGUCUCCUUCGGGUAGUUUAUGAAAACGAGAUCUGCGAUGUGAGUUAUACCUGUUACGGUAGGUGUAUGUCAAGUUUAUGAAAACGAGAUCUACCUCGGGGCCGCGUGUCACGCGGGCGUUGCCUGGGACGGGGCCUUCUGCACACAGGGAUAGGUCGACUUCAGAGUCGGAGUGGGUCUCGAAGGGGACCUGUUCUUCGUCGAGUGGUCCUGCCGAAUCCAUCGGCAAGGCCUUUUCUGGAGAUGAAGGAAGAGGUGACUCCUCUAAAGUGGGAGCAGUCAGACUCGGUAGUCGAAGGAUGUGGGAUCGAUCGGCUCGGAGAUGAAAAUCCCCGAACACGAGAUCCACGUCAGCUUCGAGCGUGUCGAAGACCGCGCGGCUGGCUGGAGGGUGGGCGGUGAAGUGGAAGGAGCCGAAGGUCAUCGACUCCGCCUGAGUCGACGACUUGUCGUCUGAAGCUGGAACCGCCGAGGUCUUGUCUCCAACACACGUCUUUCCCACAGACGGCGCCAAUGACGAAGUUGGGACUUCGACAUGGUCCAUAUUGGUGGACUUAUAUCUAGGAAAGAUUUCGAGUGUAUCUGUUGGCGAACUAGUCGGCUAACAAGGACACAGGGAGCACGAUUUACCCAGGUUCAGAGCCCUCGGAAGGUAAUACCCCUACGUCCUGCUUCUCUGAUCUGUUAUUGAUGAGUCGAUUACAAAGGGUUGCCGCGGAGGCUAGAUGCACAGAUACAAUCUGGCGAGUGCGUCUAGGCGGCUUCUACCUAGGUUAGAUUUUCUUGACUCACCCUCCUGGUACUUUAUAUAUGCAGGAGCACAGGUCUCAGGUAGAGUCCAAGUCGUUUACAAUGAAGAGAUAUAAUCUAAUUAAGCUUCGUUGUCUUGAGUCGCAAAAUUUGGCAUAUGAACUUCCGGAGUCGUAGUAGGCUUUCAUGCGGGCCCCUAGCUAGGCCGUAACAGGUAUACUUGAGUCGUGUACGUGGGUAGUCAUAACCACGCAAGUACCGAAACAGACCUCCUGUGUUUUUAGUGCAGCCAUCUCAUAUAUUAACUCUAGAGAUAAAAAGAGAAAGAAAAUGGAAAGCUCAUAUAUGGAAAAUUAUGCCAAAAACUCAGCACGUGAUUCUGAAUUUCUAACUCCAGCAUGCACAUGGUUUCUCAGUUUGAGAGUAUAUGGCCGCAAUGGCUUACUAAUUUAGUAAUAACAUAACUGAUGAGUUUAUGCCAAGAAACAAUUCGUGCAAAUAUACAUCUGUGCAAUGCUGGCUCUACGGAUCACAUCUGCAAUCUAGAUCGCAACUGAAGGGAAGAAGAUCCAAACUUCAGAUUGAGACAACAAAUUGUAGCUUAUAUGUGUCACUGCAAUAACAGAUUGAGUACAACUGCGAUCUCUGAUGCGAGGGCGAACACAAUGGACCUACCGUUAGGAGGUGAGCAAACGACGAUGCGCCAGAAAAUCCAUUGGUUGCUGUUUUUAUUACUCACUCCGUUCCAUAAUAUAACGCAUGCACACAUUUCGAGAUUUUGCUUCGACCAUCAAUUAGACCAAGAAAAUGUGAAUUAUGUAUUAUAAAAGAUAUACCAUUGGAAACUUCUUUCAGAUAUGAAUCUAGUGGUAUAAGUUUUAUAACUUAUAAUUCACAUUUUGUUGGUGUGAUUGAUGGUCAAAGUUCGACCUCGAAAUACGUGGGCAUGUUAUAUGUUAGAACGGAGGGAGUAUUGAUUAACUAAAAAGAGGACCAACAAAAUCAACGGUUAUAUGGGCCUUAAACCAAUUUGAUGAUCUGUGCAAGCCCAACAAAUAUAGCCUCUCAUUAAACCUUGAUUGUGAAGUACAAGGAUCUAAUGGUCAAAUUAAUUCGGGUGAUGUGGAUGAGCAUGUGGUCUUCCCUCGGUACCCCACAUAUUGCUAUGCUUCAUGUAUGUCUGAAACAGAGUUUGACUAAAAUAGAGGAUUUAAUAAAGACGGUGAGAGUAAUUAUUAGACAUAUAUCAUAGUAUGACAUAAAUCAAAGACACUUGUUAUGGAUGGGACGGAGUACAAAAUCUGCAUGUAACAUAUACUUUUGUGCAUGUGCCAUGUACACAUUGAUCACAACUCUUGUUCCACGGUGUUGAUUGAAUCUAGAGAUUAUACGGCGUAUUACAAACGGAGCAUUCACACUUCUGUUGUUUAAUGACGUCGAUUAGACCGGCCUGAGAAAGCGAAGCCAAAGAAUCUAAAAUCUGAAAACUACACGCAACCAUGGAACAGAGCAAUCGAAAGACGCAUGUAUAGCCUGUUUGGUAUAGCUUCACUUCACAGCUUCACCCUGAAGCAGGUGAAGUUGUUUCAAACACCACAAACUUCAUUUGUUAGGUGAAAUGGAGUAACAUACCUCUCUGGGUUUUUUUGGGGGAAGCAUACAUUUCUAGUUCAUUUUACUGCAGUUAAGAAAAAGAUGUUUCACCUGCUCCACUUCCCCUAAAGUUAGAUAUAUUUACCCACCAAUUGCCAAUUAAGUGAUACCGAACCGUUAUUUUCCAUCUGAAUAGAACGCCCGACUCCUCUUCUUCCUCCUACCAUGUUUGUGCUGUUCUUCCUCCCCAUGGAGACGCAUCUUCCCUGAACCAUGGCAGUGUACAUCUUCUGCCGUAGGUAGAGUCCGCACUCCUCGUCCGGUGAGCCCGCGAUUCGCCGCCGUCGCCGCCACCAGGAUUCGCAGCCGCAGCCGCUUCUACAUGACGCCGCCAUGGGAUCGAUCGGGAGACCAGAAAUCUGGUUCAUGAAGCUGUUGUUCUUGUUUUAUUCAUCAAGCUGCUAGACGCCGCCGGCCGGCCGCAUCUCCAAGACGCCGCCAUGGGAUCGAUCAGGGCGAGAGGACAAGAAUCUGAUUUAUGAAGCUGCUGUACAUGUUUGAUUUAUCAAGCUGCUGGACGUCGCUUCUCCAUGACGCCGUCAUUGGAUCGAUUAUUUGAUGCGGAUUCAUUUGCUAGAAUCUGUUUGGAGCACAAAAAUCUGAUUCGUCAAGCUGAUAUACAUGUUUGAUGCAUGUAGAAAAAACAACACGUGAACCAAAAAAAAGGAACAUGCAAACAAUCGAUAUGUCACGAGCUGCAUUAAUCGGCCAAGUCCAACGAUAAACACUUGCGUGAUAUACCACGUACCAGAUCGAUCCAUCAUGGAAAGAACAAAAAAGUAAAUCAGCAAAAGGAAAAAGGAUAGUCUGGAGCUGGUUUUUGUCCAAAAAACAUUUAUCAGGUGGAGUGGAGCUAAGGUGGAGAGAAGUUUAGAGGUGGAGUGGAGUUUAGGAAGUGAAGCCCUCCCAAACAGGCUCUUACACCCAUGCCUAGCUCUGUUCGUGAUGCUUGGCUUGAUGCUGCAUGCCGCGGUGGGCAUAGCUUAAAAGGUUUGAGCCCAGCCAACCAACACGUGAGAUGAGAUUUGAGCCCUGGCCGGCAGCCAACACGUGAGAAGUGUCGAUGAUUUUUGCAGUCUGCGGCGGCUGCCCAACUUUGUGAGGUCUAAGGGAGAAAACGGUACGUGUGUUUUACAUAAUGGCAUAGACGGGUAAUUUUCUUUGAUGCCUCCUUAAACCAAUUUGAUGAUCUGCUGGGCAUAGCCUCUUAUUAGAUCUUGACCGUGAAGUAUAAGAUCUAAUGGUCAAAUUAAUUCGGGUGAUGUAGAUCAGCGUGGUGCCUCCUCUCGGUACCACUCAUAUUGCUUUUAGUAUAUAACUAGCAUGGUGUCCCGCGCAACACCUUUAUAUGUCUUAAAUAUCUUGACUCACGGUAUUUGUUGCAUUAUGUAAUAACAUUAAAUUAACGGUAGGUGUAUGUCAAUUUUAUGUGUUGUUACACCUUUAUAAAGUUGAAAUUGACGGUAGGUGUAUGUCAAUUGUACUAUGUGUUAUUACACGUGUUGUCGCAGCGGAUCGUGAGCCUGGUUAAUUAUUGGAAAUGUAGAAUUAAUAUAGCUCAGUGCACAUAUGCACCCAGAUAAAGUUUGGAGGUUGGUCUGUAUAAAGAUAGAUUAGUUGAAAACGUACAUCUAGAAAAGUGAAGUUAACUUAUCACACACUAAGUAUAUCAUAGUUUGUUGAGUUAUAUUUCUUUAAGUGCUCGUUAAUAACCCAUCUUUGCUACAAUAUCGAUUAUAACGAAUAGACGUGAGCUUAUUACUUGAUAUCCUCGCGAUCGGUGAAAAAUAUAUGAAAAGGUUGUCAUGCACGCACGUAUUUACAUAUUUAUUAUGUUGCAGUCACGUGUUAGAAUUAAGAGUUGUAAUUCUUUAAAUGCCUGUUAAUAACUAAGACUUAUAAAAUAUGGAUUAUGACAAAUUGAGGUGAGUUUACUACUUAAAAUUCUCAUGAUCCGUGGAAAAUAAUGAUUUUUUCAUGUCAUAACAUAUUUAUCGUCUAAUGCAGUAUGUUGUGUCAUACUACUGCAUUUGGCACCGGAAUCAUCCAUAAUCUUUAUUUUCUAACUCAUGUAGAUAAGUAUUGUUAUACUAUUUAAACGAUUGGUCAUUAGAAAGAUAAAAUUAAUAUAUUUGGAAAAGUAUAACUAAUCAAUCUCACAAUCGCUUGAUACACAGAAGUAUAUUUAGUCAAUUCGUGUUUUGAACAUAAGACAACAUUUUAUUUGUAUGCAAUGUUCUAUGGAAAUCUAGAACUAAAGUUUAGAUCAUCUACCAACGGCUGCGCUUUCGCUGAGACGACCAAUCACAUACAUCUCAUAUAUAUUAGAUAUGUACACAAAUUAAAGCUCACAUGUAGAAUUGGUGAAUCGGUUGUUUGCGGUGGUGGCCGUGUGUAUGUCAAAUUACAUUAGUUGGUAAGAUUUACUCCCUCUGUUCCUAAAUACUUGACUUUGCACUAAAACCACGAAAAGUAUUUAGGAACGGAGGGAGUACAUGAUAAUGAAUCAUAAUGCAAGAUUUUGCUCGGAUUAAAGUUUAGAUCAUUUGAGCUAAUUUUUGUCUUCUAUAGUAAUUUGUAGCGAUAUUUGAUUAGAACAUGUUUGAUUUGUUAGUCGGUCAACCGCUAAUUCAUGGUGUUAAAUCAGUAGGCGGAGUUACAAUUUGAGGUCACACGCAAUGCAACAGACAUUUUGGUUUGCAAUAUUAUAUUGGUAUGUAGACUAAUAGAUCUUCAAAUAGAAUUAAUAUUAUAAUUCAUCCUUGCAAAAUCCUAGGUGAUGAAUAAUGGAUAUUCCAGGGCACGUGUAACCCAUAUUUUUCUUACCAAAAUUAUAUUUGUGCAUAUAGUUAUAGUUUUGGGAUGCUGUUAAUAACUCAUCUGGAAAAAAAUAUAGAUUAUAAUGGCUUACUACUAGAUAUUCUCAUGAUUCAUGAUGAAAAAAAGGAAAAAUAAAGCUGAGAGGUCGUAACAUAUUGAUCACACGUGGUGUGUUUCACGUUGUGUUUGACGUCGUACAAAUAAAUAUUGUCUUAUUACAUACCUUUAUUAUUGGGCCUACCGGAGUCCACUAAAUCACAUCGAUGAUUUAUUGGUAGCCCAUCGGAUAUAACAUCCUCGUUAAGAAUUGACCAUUUAAGUCUAAGAUAUGAUGAUUUAGAAAAUUUAGAUGAUGUGGAUCAAAAUGGUGUUUCCGCUAGAGAAUUCUCUGUAGUGUGCUUUUCUUAGAUAAUGGUUUAAGUCAUUCAGAUGAUGUAUAUUAGACCGAUUAAUCGUUCAUAGGUGAUAUUAGAUUACUAUCCGUAAUGCCUACCAACUAUUGGUCUUUACUUGAGACAGCCGAUCAAAUCUAUACACAAAAAUAAAGUUCGCAUGCAAGAUUGGGGGAUCAAUCGUUUGCACUGAUAUUGAUAGGUGGGAUAUCAUGCUAAUAAAUCAUAAUGUGAGAAUAAAUUUUUACACGAAUAUUAUAUCAAUAAAUAAUUCAGAUGAUGUGUAUCAGCGUGGUGUUUCCCCUCGACAUCGCUUAUUGUAAUACACAGAUGAAUAGAAUUAAUUAUAUAAUUAAUUGGAGUUCAAGUGUAUUUAUCAAUCGAACUUUGUAUAUACACAUUGGAAUUCAUCUCGAACAAAUUUUAAUCACUCCCUCCGUCCAACAAAAGAUGUCUUAAGUUUGUCAAAAUUUGAAUGUAUUUAGACAUGACUUAGUGUAUAGAUAUAUUUAAAUUUAAAGUUGAGACAUCCUCUGUUGGACAGAGAGAGUAUAUGUUAUUGAUAAACAACGACAAUGGAAAUUCAUUAAGUACCUAGGUCAAGGAAUAUAGCGUCUGUCCGUGCGGCUGCCACGACCCAAACACAAGAUGGUCGUCACUUGUCACGACCACUUUGAAAGGUGAUCGACGGUCCUCUCUCGCCGGCAGCAGCGCCGCACGCGUUACGGAUUGGCAAACUCAUAUACAGGUUAGGGAUGUUGCUCCGUCGGCGACGCCGCAAGCGCUACGGAUUGACAAAUUCAUAUACACUAUCUAAGGAUUCUAAUCUUUCCGGCCCAAAGCAUAUAAAUCUAACACACUAAAAAACUGAAGAAUAUGAGUACAUGUAUAUAAAUACACAAGGUGGCCUCAUACAACAGAUGCAAAAGCUACUUAUUGAUUGGGAAAUUGAAUCAGGUUGGGCUGACUCGGAUUGACCAAAUCUCUUCCUGCUAUUCCUCCUUUUAUGAUUUUAUUAUAUUCUAAUUGUAAUCUUCCUUUCCUCUUUGUCUUCCCUAACCAUGAACUGAUUGUAAGAACUAAAUGAAACAAGAUCAGAACAUGAACAUUUGGAAGAAAGAUCUGAACCAUGAACGGAAAGGAACAAGAUCUGUCAUAGAAAAAUGCAAGAACAAAUAUGUGGAAAGAACAAAUAGCCAAAACAGAAUCUCAAAAAAAAGGAAAAAAAAUCUUCAUCGCCCUAUGUCCUAAUAGAGGCUGUGUUCAUUGAUUUGUUGAAUCAAGGAAUGAAUCUGAAUGAGGAGCUCGCGAGAGGUGAAGCACAAGGCAGUGGAUCGUUCUGUCCUCACUGACCCCACAUCUCCUUGUCUCUGCCUGGAUCUCGCCGGACUCCGCCUCAUUAGCUGCGGUGCUUUACCUCUAGAGACAGGGCAACUGGGGCAGGCCGUGGUCGGGGAAGAGGGAACGGUGCAUGCAGCCAACGCAAAGAAGGCCAAGGCCAUGUGCGGCUGCAGCGAGCUCGCGAGGGUCGCUGCCGCUUUAUGCAGCACCUCUUCUGCUGUUGCUGCCUCGGCGGCCAUGGUUGACUUUCGCGUGCGUGAGCGACUUCAGAGACACGUCGCCUCGUCGCCUCUCUCUCUCUCAUCUCCACGGCUCGUCCACCUCAUCUUCCCCGAUGGACUGGCUCAGACCGUUUAUUAUCCAUGGCGGCAGCGGAUCCAGUCUCCAUGACGGCAUGCGCAGGGGAGGAGCGCAGCGGCGGCGGGCCGCCCAUAGAUCUUUGCCGGCGAAGACGGCGCUCGCAGAGGAGGAGGGCGGCUGCAGCGUGCAGAACGAGACGCGAGGCUUGCGGCGGAGGGAGGAGAAGCAGCGGUCGGAGGAGGCGGCGAGUGCGAGUCAGGAAGACAAGAGAGAGGUCUUUUUUUACACGAAGGGAGGGGGUUCGCAUCGGGACGUACAGGAGGGGCGCGGUGGCAUACUCAUGUAAAUUUAAUGAAGUUGACGUACCACGAUCGUACCAUCACCACCAACUCCAAUUUAAUAUAUUGGUAUAGAUAUCCUUCAUGUUAAUUAUAGAUCUUGGCCAUAGAAGUUAAGAUCUAACGGUUCAAGUAAUUCAGAUGAUGUGGAUCAACAUGUAUCCUCCCCUCGGUAUCUCUCAUAUUGCUUUAGUAUAUAAUAGAUAGAUCAUGUGGGACAGAGAACCACAUUACACACAUGGUUAGUAAGCGUUAGCGCGUGCGAUGAUGACACACAUGGUUAGUAAGCGUUAACGAUGAUGACACACAUGAUUAGUAAGCGUUAGCGAUGAUGACCCACAUGGUUAGUAACUUUUAGCGAUGAUGACACCCCCACAUUACAUACCCUCUAUAGGAAACCGUGUGCGCGAUAGGCAAUUCGGACGUGUGUGAAUGCCUGAUCUGUACUAGUGAAUGCACCCAUGAAACGAACAAAUAUAUGCAACCAAAUUAUCCAAUAACACGCUCUAUAUGAAGUUUUUGUCUUCUUUUCUUUUAGCUUCUCGCGUAUAUCUAAACGAACGACAGAAAUAGACUUCCCGUUCUUCGGAGAGAGAGAUGGGUGUGCGUAUGCGUGGGUGGGUGUGGCGGGGCCGGGGUAGCAACCGUGACCAACCGCCCGAGCAUCUAGUUAUAUAAACAUGGCAGUGACACCCGCUCUGUUUGAUACCACAAGCACUAAGCCAUCUCCUUUGACGAAACAGGUAUGGCAAUAUCUACUGUCACGCAAUGCCUCCUAUUGCUGCUUUACUACUCCUACGUACCACCGAUAGUAGCAGAUCCCUCUCCUCGCCCAGAACUACCUCACAAGACGAGCCAAGAAUUGCCAUACAAUGCGGAGCUACGCAGCUUCCCAAAUGAUCGUCUGUAUCGCGCCUACCACGUAAUCCAGCGUUUCAAAAGCACCAUUACCGCUGAUCCCAAGAACACCACCGCCACUUGGACUGGAUAUGACAUCUGCGGCAAUACGACCUACCUCGGCUUCUUCUGCUUGACACCUACGGGGAGAGCUGAGGAUCUUACAGUCGCUGGGAUCAUUUGGAACGGCUAUGGUCUGCGUGCGCCCACGCUGCAAGGCUUCAUCGAUAAGCUCCCAGAUCUUGCAUUUUUUCAUUCUGCCUCUAACUACUUUACCGGCGAUGUACCCCAUCUCGACAGCCUCCCGUACUUGUACAAUCUCGAUGUCGAUAAGGAGGACAUCCCAGUUCAUCCUAACAGUGCUAAUUUCUAUACUGACUCUACUAUUCACGGUGGUGGUAGAUGUAUUAAUGGCGAUAUUCAUUUAAGAAUAAACGUCACCUUGGACCCUCAUAUGAAGCGAUGGGGCUGGGGCAUGAUUCCGGCCGGUGCCACCAGUGCUAGGGCUCUCCUUCUCAACUACAACGACCUGUCAGGCGCACUUCCGGCGAACAUUGGCUUCUCCAAAUUGAGCUACUUCGCCCUCGCCAACAACAAGCUCACCGGCCCAAUCCCGUCAUCAAUCGGGCAAGCAAAAGACACCCUCUUCGAGCUCCUCCUCCUCAACAACCAGCUCUCCGGCUGCCUCCCACACGAGCUGGGCAUGCUCACCAAAACCACGGUCAUCGACGCCGGGAAGAACCAGCUCACGGGCCCGAUCCCGCCAUCCUUCUCCUGCCUCAGCAGCGUCGAGCAGCUCAAUCUGGGCGAGAACCGCCUCUACGGCCAGGUCCCCGACGCGCUCUGCAAGCUCGGCCGCCUCGCCAACCUCACGCUGGCGGGCAACUACUUCUCCUCGGUCGGGCCGGCGUGCUCGGCGCUGAUCAAGGAAGGCGUGCUGGACGUAAAGAGGAACUGCAUCCCCGGCCUCGCCAACCAGAGGGCGCCCGCGGAGUGCACCUCGUUCAUGAGCCAGCCCAAGGCGUCCUGCCCUGCCGCGAGCGCUCCCGUGUCCUGCCCUGCCGAAGCUGCCGCGGACGCCAAGAAGAUGGCGCCGGAGGGGAGGGCGGCCGCCAAGGACUACGCAAGCUACGUGACGUACGCCACUCUCCAUGAGUGAGCUAGGCGCCACGUAGUGCGUACGGCUUGUCGGCGUGGCGCAUGCAUGCGCUAGGGGACGCCGUGCCUCGUCGCUGGAGUAAUUUGUUUGCUAUUGUAUUCAUUUUUCUUGUAUUUGUUCGGUUGGUGUGUGUGCGCGCGCGCGCACGUGAUCGUUAUUUGUUU